rnacentral:rRNA from 1 species
CAGUAGCCGCGGGAAUACGAAGGGUGCAAGCGUUACUCGGAAUUACUGGGCGUAAAGCGUGCGUAGGUGGUGGUUUAAGUCCGUUGUGAAAGCCCUGGGCUCAACCUGGGAAUUGCAGUGGAUACUGGGUCACUAGAGUGUGGUAGAGGAUAGUGGAAUUUCCGGUGUAGCAGUGAAAUGCGUAGAGAUCGGAAGGAACAUCUGUGGCGAAGGCGACUAUCUGGGCCAACACUGACACUGAGGCACGAAAGCGUGGGGAGCAAACAGGAUUAGAUACCCCGGUAGUCCCUGUCUCUUAUAA